AUUAAACGCUGGCGGCAUGCCUUACACAUGCAAGUCGAACGGCAGCACGGGGGCAACCCUGGUGGCGAGUGGCGAACGGGUGAGUAAAGCAUCGGAACGUGCCCUGGAGUGGGGGGAUAACGUAGCGAAAGUUACGCUAAUACCGCAUAUUCUGUGAGCAGGAAAGCAGGGGAUCGCAAGACCUUGCGCUCUGGGAGCGGCCGAUGUCGGAUUAGCUAGUUGGUGGGGUAAAGGCCUACCAAGGCGACGAUCCGUAGCGGGUCUGAGAGGAUGAUCCGCCACACUGGGACUGAGACACGGCCCAGACUCCUACGGGAGGCAGCAGUGGGGAAUUUUGGACAAUGGGCGAAAGCCUGAUCCAGCCAUGCCGCGUGAGUGAAGAAGGCCUCGGUUGGUUAAAGG
rnacentral:rRNA from 1 species